rnacentral:sRNA from 1 species
ACAUGGCUCCUGACUCCUGUGCGGAACAUGGUCUCUAGCGACCGGCCCGUGUCACUGGAGGACGAGGUCUCCCAUAGUAUGAAGGAGAUGAUUGGAGGCUGUUGCGUUUGCUCAGACGAGAGAGGCUGGGCCGAGAACCCGCUGGUUUAUUGCGACGGGCACGGCUGCAGCGUCGCGGUGCAUCAAGCUUGCUAUGGCAUUGUUCAAGUACCCACUGGACCAUGGUUUUGCAGGAAAUGUGAAUCUCAGGAGAGAGCAGCCAGAGUGGUAAGGACUAUUUAUCAAAAACAUUAAACUUUAGUGAGUAGGUUAGGAAAUU